GUACUAGGAGAGCACACCUCCCUGUCUUGUUCCUGCUCUCAGCUUUUCACCAUUGAGAAUGAUGUCAGCUGUGGGUUCCACAUAUACGGCCUUUAUUAUAUUGAUGUAGCUCCCUCGGUGCCACCUAUCUGAAGUGUUUUUAUCAGAAAUGGGUGUUGGAUCUUGCCAGAGGGUUUUUGUGCAUCUGUCAAGAGGAUCGUAUGUUUUGGUUUUCUUCAGUUUUUGAAUGUGGUGUAUCACACUGAUUGAUCUGUGGAUAUUGAAAAAUCCUUGCCUCACUGGGAUAAAUCCCACCUGACCAUGUGUACAAUCCUUUUCAUGUAUUGCUGGAUUCAGUUUGCUAGUGCUUUGUUGAGGAUUUUUGCAUCCAUGCUCAUCAGUGAGAGUGGCCUGUAUUUUUUCUGUGUGUAUGUGUGGUAUCUUUGUUUAGUUGGUAGCAGAGUGAUCAUGGCCUCAUAGAAUGAGUUUGGGAGUGUUCCUCUCUUUGCAAUUUUUUGGAAUAGUUUCAGAAGUGUAGGUAUUACCUCUUUACUAAAUGUCUGAUAGAAUCCGCCUGUGAAGCCAUCUGGUCCUGGACUUUUGUUUGCUGGAAAUGUUUUCAUCAGUUUCAAUUCCAAUACCUAUGUUGAUCCACUCAUCUUCUCUAUUUCAUCUUGUUUUCAUCUUGGAAGACUGUUAUUCCCUAAAAACUUGUCCACUUCUUCUGAAAUCCAACUUUUAAAUUCAGGUCAAACUGAAAGCUAGAAUGUGUGCUCUACAUUAAAAUGAUCAUACGUAGUGAUCAGAUGUGUUUUAGUCCAGGGAGGCAAGGAUGAUUCAAUAUCCACAAAUCAUUCAUUGUGACACACUGCAGUAACAAGUUGCAGCAUAAAAAAUCAUAUGAUCAGCUCCCAGAUGCAUAAAAUAUUUUGACAAAAUUCAACAUUAAUUUGGGAUAAAAACACUCAAGAAAGUAGGUAUAGAAGCAACAUACCUCAGGGUAGUAAAGGACGUAUAAAACACAGCCACAGCUAUCGUCAUAUUCAAUGCAGGAAAGCUGAAAGCAUUUCCUCUAAGCUAAACAAAAAGACAAGGAUGCCUAUUCUCAUCACUUCUAUUAAAUAUAGUAUUGGAAGUCUUAGAAUCAUUAGAAAGACAAUGUUAAAAAAAAAACCAAGGAGUUCCCAUCAUGGCUCAUGGUUAACAAACCCAACUAGCAUCCUUGAGGAUGCGGGUUCGAUCCCUGGCCUCACUCAUUGGGUUAAGGAUCCAGUAUUGCCGUGAGCUGUAGUGUAGGUUGCAGACAUGGCUUGAAUCUGGUGUUGCUGUGGCUAUGGUGUAGGCCGGCAGCUGCAGCUACAAUUAGACCCCUAGCCUGGGAAUCUCCAUAUGCAGCAUAUAUGGCCCUAAAAAAGACAAAAAGGCAAAAAAAAAAAAAAAGGAGAAAGGAAAGGGAACCAAAUUGCCAAGGAGUAAGUAAAUCUUUCCCAUUUACAGAUGACACGAUGCUCUAUAAAGAAUACGUACUCUUUACCGCUACUGUCGCCGAGUCAGUUUCAGGAUUUCAGUGCCUCCUGAAGACCCACGUUUCCCAGCUAGUCCCCACCCUCAGCACUCUGCCUAAAGCUGCUAAGCACCACGCCUGGCCCUGAGCACCCGGCCAGCCCGCAGGAUCUCCAUUUCCCCCCAUGUGCCCCCAACGACUAACACAGGUGGUCUCACCGCAUGAAUCCCUAUCAAGUGCGUCCACUUGUCUCCAGCUCCACACUACAACAGCUGUCCUAACUGACUUUCCUAGAUGCGUAACUGGCCUUCCACACAGCAGCCAGAGUGAGUUGUUUAUUUCAACACUUUAAUACCAUUUGUUUCAAUGCCAUCAAAGAGUUACUCCCGCUUAGUUAAAAUGGCUCAAAGGGAAAACGAUAGUCCAUUCCCUCUUCCUUUACAGAUGCACCUCCCUGCCCGGAACCACUUUUGAGUCUGUUUCAUGAUUAAUAUUCCUCAGUAUCUGUAGAUAUGUUUUAAUAAAGAAGAAUUGGUAUUUCUAUACAUAUUCUGGUUAUUUUCCCAUUUAUUUUAUUUGAAGAUAACUGGUAGGAAAAAUGGUGGUUUUUUUCACGUCUGAGGUAAUCUUUACAGAUUAUAUUUGUUGAAUUUAUUUUGACAAGGAGCAAACAGGAUAAUCAAUGAGUUAACUAUCAAUAGGAAAUAAAUUUUAAUUUUAUAAUCUUUUGAAAAGAAAAAGAAAAAUAAUCAUUUCUCAGCGCCUGAAAGUAAAAAAAAAAAAAAAA
rnacentral:lncRNA from 1 species